UAGGCCAGUUCAUUGCAUGGUCUGAAUUUCAACUCCAGUGUCAUGCUUGCUAUUUGCAAAAUGCUGUGCAGAACUUCUCUUCUUGCGUGUGGACAGCAAAGUUAAACUGAAAUAAGAAACCUGACAAAGAUUUCAAGAAGCAAGAUAAUGUGAGUAUGUGUGUGUGCAAGUGUAUGUAUGUAUUUUGAGAUCUAAAGAUAACCAGAACACUCCAAACAUAAAUCAAGGAGUGAAUGAUUUGCAUGGCAAACCAACAUUUAGGUUACAGAAAAGAAACAUGUCAGUAUUUUCUUUUG
rnacentral:lncRNA from 10 species